GUCCUGGCCCUAAACGAUGAAUGCUUGGUGUGGCGGGUAUCGAUCCCUGCCGUGCCGAAGCUAACGCAUUAAGCAUUCCGCCUGGGGAGUACGGUAGCAAGGCUGAAACUCAAAGGAAUUGACGGGGGCCCCGCACAAGCGGUGGAGCAUGUGGUUCAAUUCGACGCAACGCGAAGAACCUUACCCAGGCUUGAACUGCGAGUGACCACGCCCGAAAGGGCGCUUCCGCAAGGACACUCGUAGAGGUGCUGCAUGGCUGUCGU
rnacentral:rRNA from 1 species